AUGUUUAGAGAUUAUAGAAUGGGAAUGGGAAUUAUUAUCGUGCAUUCUUCCAGCACCGCCCCUUCGCCCAAUUGCCUAUGUGCAGUCCCCCUAUUCUCUAACGCAUAUUUCAUUGAUGUUUUUUUAGGAUCAUCUGAAGGCUUUCAGAUUCUCCCCAUUCACCACCCUCCAAAAAACCUAUAAACCUCCUCUCUUUUUUCUCUCCUUUUCUUCUUUUAUUGCUCUUUCGCGUUUUAUCUUCAGUGGAAACAAUGGGUGUGUAAUGGAUGCCGUCGAUUUUUGUCCGCCACUGUGUAAGGUGGAGAAGGUGGCGGUGCGGUCUCUGAACAAGCUCCCGUUUGGGCUUCCGGUUCUGCCCCUCCGCUCGAAGUUCCUCACAAAACACAGUUUUUUUUUGUAAUUUUGUGCAUGUAGAUUAUAAUCGUUAAUUAGACAUCAAACGUUGUGAUUCGGGUAAAGCUGCAAAGUCUAAUGCUGAAGUCGGAUCAGAUGCAGAUGUGGAGCAAAUAUAACCUAAAUCAUGUGUUUAUCUGUGAGCACAUGUAUGAUCCUGCUACUGGGUCACUCAAGAAGCUGAUAUCAAAGCAACAUACUCAAAGUGGAUGCUACUUCUUCCUUAAGAAAAGAGAAGUGUUUGAAGACGGAAGACUAUGAUUGGCAUUGAUACAACGUCUGAUAGAAAAGAUGAAGAGAGAAAAGUAAAGAAGGAGCCUUUUGAGACAAAUCAGAGCUACAACUGUGGGAGAUGGAGAUGAUCUAUGUCGGUGGAAAGUCCAAUGUGCAGAUGGUCUUAAUGUGUGACGGGUUGCAGGAAGGGAAGUUGGUUGUGCAGAGACGGAGGUUUGGGACCUGAUCAGAUGGGAUGCAAUCAAUGGCAAGUGUUGUAAGUGUGAUUUUUUAUUUUAUUUUACUUAUUUGAUUUGAGUUUUGUUGGAUCUAGAGCUUGAAUAUUUUCUCUUGCUGUGUUUAUCUACUUCUUCCUUUGUACUGUGGUCACCUAACAUGUUGUGUCCUGCUGCUGUCUACAACCAUGUGAUCACUGAUCUAUCUUUAUAAGAUAUGAACAUGCUGUAGCUGGAGCUAUUGAUGGAUGAAAACAAAAUCUGUAUAAUAAAAUAUAAAAUAUGUUGAGUAAUGAGUUUGUUAAUUGUCGUUUCUAAACAUUCUCCUAACAUUUUUAUGUUAAUUGUUUGUGUUUGAUGCAAUUUUUCCUAUAUUGUUGGAGUGGAGAGAUGAUCCUGAGGUCAUUCUUGAUAAGCAUACAUGAGAUUUAUCUCCAAAUCUGGCUGCAGAAGCAGCACCAGAUCAGCUUUGGAAAAUAACGGCAAUAUAAGUGGCAGGAAACAUCAUGGUGUAGGCUACAAGAAUCACAUAAACCUCGAUGCUUUAUAUGUCAUGUAUUCCCACUUUUAACUAAGCUCUCUGAUUCUCUAUGUUAGUAAGUGACUUAAAUUAACCAAAGCAUUUAUUGAUCAAGGUGUGUUAGCAUUUAUUCUUAUGGCUUAUAAAAAAAUUGUAUUGCUCGAUGAGUAUGUUAAAUUGGAAAUAUUCUUUGACCAAGUGGCAUAGUCUAACUUAUACACGAUUGUCUUUGCUUAAUAACUAAGCAUUGUAAGUGCCACUAUUUUCUAUACAAAAAGAAAGUUGCUUAACGAGUUUGAAGGGAAGAUUUUCUAUAUAGAAAUUUCUAAUUAGAAUUUUAAGGGCUUAACAUGUUUAUGAAGUUUCAUGUUUAUGUUGCUUUGCAUAUAUGUCUCUGUUGGUGUGUAUCGGUCCCUCUUGAUUGGUGUAUGGUUUUAUCAAACUGAAACUUUUUCCAAUCAAAAUUCUUCUGUGCACAAUUAGUAAAUAGCUUGGCGAAUUAAUGUUACUAAAUUAAGAAACUAGGAAACAAACUUUGUUAUAAAAUGUGUUGCACUAUUAUGUGUUGCAGUAUAAAAUGUGUUGCACUAUGAUGUGGUGAAUCACAUAAUUUUAUUUGUUAGAGGUGUAGAACUGCUGCCACAUCAGUUCUAUAUACUGACUUACAUUGCUUUUUUAAAUUUACAGUUCAUGAAAUAGAGCCAAAACAAUGUGAUUCUGAAGUUGAACUACAUGAACACUUUGGUUCAUAUUAUGAUGACGUUUUUUAGGAGGGUGGAAAAAGAGUCAUUCACAUUCCAUAUGAAACUUUCUAGGCAUUACAAGUUCUUAACCUCACAUUUCUUUUAUGGAAUAAUGAAUUUAUAGAAUAUUUGUUCGUUUUGUUCAACAAGAGCUGCCAUAUUGACAUACGAGGAUUUCCAAUGAAUUUGAAAAGGUUUUCUCUAUCUUCAUCAAAUCAAGGAUUGUGGGGCAUGAUAAGCUAUUAAAGGAUAUGCUUCAGAUGAAACUCGAAACACUCAAGAUGCACUCAAGAUGCGACUGUUAGUGGCGAUUAGUGGAGUUGUAAAUGUAAAUGUGAAAGCUUCAAUCCAAGGUGACUCAUUUGGAGAGGUGGCAAGAUCUCACUUUUUUAUUGUACCCGCAAAACAUGCAUAUGGAUGUUUUGUUCUCAUUCAUUCUUCUAAUGCAUUAGUUACUGUACAUACGGUUAAAAACCUUUCAGUGGAGAUAUUGAAAAAAAUUGUGUUUA